CUCGCUGUGUCAGAAUGAAUGACCCGCGCUGCCCGGCCGGGGGGCACAUGCACCUUGCAGGGCUCCAGCGCGCUGGCCCGAGGCCGUGCACACCCUGUGCGUCCUGGGGAGCCGCUUGCAUGGGCCUGGAGCCCUAGGGUUGGGCUAGGAGUGUGCUGUCGCCACCCCGGGGGGUCAGAGGCCUCAUUCAUCUUUCCAACUGGGCCUUAGCAGAUGGCCACCCUGGGAGGCUCGAUGCACCCCGACAAGAGGAGCCCCAGUUUCGUCACCCAGCUGCAGCCCAGGCCGCUCAGCUGUGGCUGAGCAGGUGCCGAGGCCGACCCGCAACCGUCGCUGUUGGCUGCCUGACCGCAGGCAGAUUCUGGCCUCUCCGAGCCUUACCGUUCUGGUCCGGAAGACAGAAGCACAGCAGCACUGCCUGACCCUGCUGCUCUGUGGAGCAAACCAGACGCGUGGCAGUGUUUACAGGGGCCCUUGGCCGGUUCUCAGCGGAGACGGGGGGCUGGGCCAUCCCAGUCCUCGUCCCCUCCCCCGAGCCCCUGAGCCUGCCUGUCCCGAGCUCACCGCCUACAUCCUGCCCAGGUGCGGCCGUGCCUCUGUCCUCCCUGGGCCUGCAGCCCCAGCCUCUGGGCUUGGGCACAGCCUCCCCUCCCUUACGCCUCCUGCCGCGACUGCUCUUUCUUCCUGCUCUAGCUUUGCCUCUGAGCCCGCUGCACCCUUUCCGGUACAGAUUCCCACUGGGCUCCCUGCCGGGGGCGUGUUAUGCCCACCCUCCCCCGCCAUGGCUGCCGGGAUGGCCCUCUGCCCAUGGCCUUCACCGCUUCCUACUCUGGCUGAAGGGACUCAGGUGGUCUUUGGAAUCAGACCCACUUCCUCCUCCACUACCAUCACGACUUGGCUCGAAUGACCGUCCGGCCUCAGGCCAGCUCUCUACCAUGUGCAGCUGCUCUGAGCAAGCCUGUGCCUCCAGGUGUCUGUGCACACAGCUCUUGGCCCUGGACGCACUCCUGUGCAGAGACCCAGGCUCCGAGCAGCCCUCCUGUGGCUUUGCUGGCCCCUCCUUCCAGCCUCCUGUGCUCCUUGCUC
rnacentral:lncRNA from 1 species